UACGGAGGGGGCUAGCGUUGUUCGGAAUUACUGGGCGUAAAGCGCGCGUAGGCGGACCUGCAAGUCGGGGGUGAAAGCCCCGGGCUCAGCCCGGGAAGUGCGCUCGAAACUGCGCGGCUCGAGUGCCGGAGGGGAGAGUGGAAUUCCUGGUGUAGCGGUGAAAUGCGUAGAUAUCAGGAGGAAUACCGGUGGCGAAAGCGACUCUCUGGACGGCAACUGACGCUGAGGCACGAAAGCGUGGGGAGCAAACAGG
rnacentral:rRNA from 1 species